CUUGCGGGUGUGUGGGGGGCUGGGAGUAAGAGCCCAGUUUCAUCGGAGAGGGGCGUUCGGGCCCGGAGUGGAGCGGGCCUGCUAGAGUACGCGGCUGCUGCCCAGCUCCUGCUGUUUGCGAUGGUGCAGGCCCAGCAUGGCCUGUCGUGUGAGGCUGAAAGUCUGGGUUGAAAUCUGUUGAUUUGUAAAUGUUAGCAGCUAAAACAGAACAAAACAGACGCACUGUCCGAUCAAACAGCGCCGUGCACUGAGCACGGGUGGAGGCUGCCUGAGCUCCUGAGGCCUCCGCUCGGCGUGGCCGCGGACCCGGAGGGGAUGAGAGGCCCUCAGGCCCGGGAGGAUUCGGGAGGUGGUUCCUCCCACUGGCUGCAGGAACCCGAUCUUGUCUUUAUUUAAAAGUUUGAUAUUUUGUUUAUCAUGGGUUUCUUGGCAUUAAUUUUGAUUCAAAAAGAUGUUGCAUUAAAGUAUUAUUUAUCUGAUUACUAGGUUUUUUGGCCCCUCCUUUAAGUUUUGCUCAGCAGGCAAGGGUCUCACUCAGCUCAGCCUCGUCCCGGCCCCGCUGCCCCCACUGGGAGGUAGUUUCCAGGGAGGGGACAAGAGACUCGGUUCGGGUGCAUCUUAUAAUUGAUGGUGUCUGACAAUCACUCAACCAGAUGAGAGUCAUGACUUAGGAGUAUGAAAAUCAUCUGUUGACAUUUUCUGAUUGCAAGAGGCUGUGGCUCAUAUGUAUGAUAUUCUCAACAUAGGGUUUCAGCAAUUAUGGAUAAAGCUGUUAUGGACUUCCAUGUGUAGGUUUUUCUGUGGACAUAAGUUUGCAAUUCCUUUGGGUAAAUACCAAGAAGCACAAUUGCUGGAUCUUACGGUCAGCUGUUUACCAGUUUGACAAGUUUUUUUCCAAUACUGGCUGACCCUCUGGAGGAAUGGUUUAUCAACGUGAUGUAGUUCCUGACUGAUACAACAGUUGCUUAAAGA